CAGGAUGAAGUGAGUUGUACAGCACCGCUUCCUACAAUGUAUCCAUCGCCACCGAACGCACAGCAACACCAUUAAGGCUUUAAACGCUAAUUGUAACAUAGAAUUUAUUUUCUGAAAUACAUUCAUUUUUAAUGAAUGAUUUGUAAAUACAGGCAACGGCUUUCCUCAUUCUUUUUGUCCAUAUACUUAGGUUUCAUUGCAGUUUGGCUAAAAGUAUCACUCAUUGCUAAAUAGUGUUAUUUUUGUUAUUAUAGAAAGUUGAACGUAUGUUAUUACAUUUUUACUAAUUUAUUUAUAGUAAAAACUUACAUAAAGAUUCUACCUACAAAAUAUUAUAUAAUACUUAAUGUACAGAAACAAUACGACGCAUACUCAAAUUAGCACUACUUGAUAAGACUAUCAGGUAGAAUGUUUUUGCAUCUAUUAAUUAUCGAUUUAGCACUGAUCACAUUCUGCUAAAUUUAAAAGAGAAACAGACUGUUGUGAUUUAUUAAAUUUCUUCAACUUUCUUCUUCCUAUACAUAGACAAGAGGGCGAUGUACAGUUUUGAUGGCACACGCGGACAAAUAGCAAAUCAAUCAACUCGUCUUCCGAAUUGUUUGGCUCGAUACCGAGUGAUAGCUUACCCGAGCGGCAUACAUUUUAUUUGAGCUAGCUAUUGAGAAUGAUGUCGAUUGAAUAUUGAGUUCAAAACAAGCGUAUUUUUGAAAACCAAAUAAUAUUUUGAUAUAUUGUUAAAAAAAACUAGAUUGUUCAGUUAAUUUUGUAGUAUUUUUUUUAGGGGCAAUCUAUUCUAUAAAAGGUUUAGUUAAGGGUUGAAUUGAAAUCAGACCAUAAAGUUGAUGAGAUCUAGGACUUUCGCAAAUAUUCAUUGAAAUUAAACUAAUAUUUUCGGAUUUGCUAUUCGCUUUUAAACAUUUUUACUCCAUACUGCCGUAGUCUCGGUUACUUUGCCGCAACCGAGACUACGCAAUUAUAUAGUCAAAAUAAUCAAAAAUGCGUAGGAAAACCAAAAAUAUUAGUUUUAUUUUUUUGAACAUGAAGCUUUCCUCAUAAGGCCAAUUGCCAAGAACAGAAUCAAUUAAUGUGCCAAUUUUAAGACGGCAGAAAAUAAUAGAAAGCCUUUUCAAUAAAGUAUAAACAUAAUGAGAUCUAAGAUUUUCGCGAGUUUUAUUCAUUUAAAUGAAACUAGUAUUUUUCGGAUAAACUACUCGGAUUUAUUUUUGUAAAAAACUACAUACUCCCGACGUUUCGGUUACUUUGCAGCAACCGUGAUCACUGGCAGACGAGACUGGCAGUUUAUCCGAAAAAUGUGUGAUCACAUGUGAUCACACAUUUUUCGGAUAAACUACGCGUGAAUGCUAGUAAAAAGAAAAGAAAAAUAGAAAUACUAGUUUCAUUUAAAAGUAUAAACAUUAUUAUUAUAUAUAAUCUUAAAUAGUAUUUACAUAUUUUGCAGUAAGACUUUCUAAACCAAAAACUAAUCUUGUAUAUAGAUGCUCAGCUAUUAUGUUUAGGCUUUUAUUAUUUUAAGAAACUUUCACAGGAAUUAGAAGUUCAUUUAUUUAUUUUAAAAUUUUAUCUCGUUAUAAUUUUAAUAUUUCCUACGCGUACAUCACGGGUAUCUUUAGUGAUAUCUACCUAAGCUAUGCUGUAAUUUUUUUAAAAAUAAAGUUAAUCAUAGCUUUUGCUUGCGACAGCCAAAAACAUUAAUACCAAAAUUGCUCUUAAAAUUCGCGUUGUUUGCCAAAACUCUCGUCAAUAUCUGUAAUUUUUGCGAGCGUCGCAGUAGUUUAUGUCAGGAGUUUCUUUUUUGUAUUUUAUAACAAUAAAUAACACUGGUAUAAUGAGAAUUUUUUAACUUAUGUUCGAAGAUGAACAGAAAAACAUUUCGAUUAAUUUAUACGUUAAAAUCAACGAAAACAGGAAGUUAGUUGAGAGUAAUUAAAGUAAUUUUAUAAAAGCGGAUUAACAAUAAUUUUCUACGUUUUUCAUAUUUAAUGAUGUAAUCUACAGAAAUAUCCUAUAACAAAAGAACAUAACAUUUAGGUUUAUAAAUUUUACAGACACGACCUUGAAGUUUUUGGGCUUACAAUAUUUUUAUUUUGAUGAAAAAUGUAAUAUGUAGCAAGUUACGCCUCAUAUCAUUACGAGAAUUAAAACAUAUCUUUGUCUUAUAUGAAUAAACACUUCAUUACGUCUGUGAUCAACAUUAACACUUACUGCCUUUGUUAUUUACGCGCGUAAGGUCGGCAUGGCGUCCUGCCAAAUUCGAAGUUUCCAAAUAUAUUUUCUGUGAGCAUUAAUUACCAUGUAAUCUGAAAUAUUUAUUAGGUUAUGCAAAAUUGUGGAUUAGUAAAAUUGCUCUUUUCUCUUAAAACACAUCGCUGAGAUGACUAAUAUUGUAUUAUUUUAGGAAAUUCUGUUGCUUGUUUUUUCCGCAGAUCUGUAACUAAUGGCGUCACAUCAUAGACAAUGGAAGAAAGAGUCACCGGAUGUCUCGUAUUUCUGAUUCUCGUUUAAAAACAAAAGCUGUAUAUUAAUCUUGGGAACGGGAUUUUGGCAAUUUACCAAAGGCCAAGUGAAAACAUCUGCGUAUUACGAAAUUCUAACAGUAAACAUUUUUUAUGCUUGUUCCUCAAAAAUCUAAAAUAAAUACAUUAAACUUU